rnacentral:tRNA from 1 species
GCGGAUGUGGCGGAACUGGUAGACGCACCAGAUUUAGGUUCUGGCGCCGCAAGGCGUGGAGGUUCGAGUCCUCUCAUCCGCA